CCUACGGGAGGUAGCAGUAGGGAAUUUUGCGCAAUGGGCGAACGCCUGACGCAGCAACGCCGCGUGAACGAGACGCCCUUCGGGGUGUAAAGUUCUUUCAGUGGGGACGAAAGAUGACGGUACCCACAGAGGAAGCACCGGCUAACUACGUUCCAGCAGCCGCGGUAAUACGUAGGGGGCAAGCGUUAUCUGGAUUUACUGGGUGUAAAGGGCGCGUAGACGGUUAUGUAAGUCUGGAGUGAAAGCCCGUGGGCCAACCCCCGGACUGCUUUUGAAACUGGGUAACUGGAGUACAGGAGGGGGAGGCGGAAUUUCCGGGGUAGCGGUGAAAUGCGUAGAGAUCAGGAAGAACACCGGGGGGGAAGGCGGGCCUCUGGACUGAAACUGACGUUGAGGCUCGAAAGCGUGGGGAGCAAACAGGAUUAGAUACCCCUGUAGUC
rnacentral:rRNA from 1 species